rnacentral:rRNA from 1 species
GACGAACGCUGGCGGCGUGCUUAACACAUGCAAGUCGAACGGACCUUCGGGUUAGUGGCGAACGGGUGAGUAACACGUGGGUGAUCUGCCCUGCACUUUGGGAUAGGCCUGGGAAACUGGGUCUAAUACCGAAUAGGACCACGCGCUUCAUGGUGUGUGGUGGAAAGCUUUUGCGGUGUGGGAUGGGCCCGCGGCCUAUCAGCUUGUUGGUGGGGUAAUGGCCUACCAAGGCGACGACGGGUAGCCGGCCUGAGAGGGUGACCGGCCACACUGGGACUAGGAUACGGCCCAGACUCGUACGGGAGGCAGCAGGGGGGAAUAUUGCACAAUGGGCGCAAGCCUGAUGCAGCGACGCCGCGUGAGGGAUGACGGCCUUCGGGUUGUAAACCUCUUUCGCCAGGGACGAAGCGCAAGUGACGGUACCUGGAGAAGAAGGACCGGCCAACUACGUGCCAGCCGCCGCGGUAAGAC